rnacentral:rRNA from 1 species
UACGUAGGGACCAAGCGUUGUUCGGAUUUACUGGGCGUAAAGGGCGCGUAGGCGGCUUGACAAGUCACUUGUGAAAUCUCUGGGCUUAACCCAGAACGGCCAAGUGAUACUGUCACGCUAGAGUGCAGAAAGGGCAAUCGGAAUUCUUGGUGUAGCGGUGAAAUGCGUAGAUAUCAAGAGGAACACCUGAGGCGAAGGCGGGUUGCUAGGCUGACACUGACGCUGAGACGCGAAAGCGUGGGGAGCAAACAGG